CAGCAGCCGCGGGAAUACGGAGGAUCCAAGCGUUAUCCGGAAUCAUUGGGUUUAAAGGGUCCGUAGGCGGUUUAGUAAGUCAGUGGUGAAAGCCCAUCGCUCAACGGUGGAACGGCCAUUGAUACUGCUGAACUUGAAUUAUUAGGAAGUAACUAGAAUAUGUAGUGUAGCGGUGAAAUGCUUAGAGAUUACAUGGGAUACCAAUUGCGAAGGCAGGUUACUACUAAUUGAUUGACGCUGAUGGACGAAAGCGUGGGGAGCGAACAGGAUUAGAUACCCGCGUAGUCCCUGUCUCUUAUAC
rnacentral:rRNA from 1 species